CAUGUCCUUUUGAGUUUAAUUUAAGGUCUGAUCUGCUCAAUGAGUGUUUAAAUAGCCGCGGUAUUUUGACCGUGCGAAGGUAGCAUAGUAAUUAGUUUCUUUAUUGGGAGCUGGAAUGAAUGAUUAGACGAGAAAAUUACUGUCUCUAUAAAAUUUUUUUUGAAUUUAACUUUUAAGUAAAAAGGCUUAAAGUGAAUUAAAAGACGAGAAGACCCUAUAGAGUUUUACAUUUAUUUAUGGGGGAGAGUUUGUGGUAUAUUUUGUUUCUUUUGUAAAAAUUGUUUGGUUGGGGUGACUAGAAGAUUAAAAUUACUCUUCUAAUCUUUUGUUACUGAUUUGUAAAUAUUUGUUCUUAUUUUUUCAAGUUUAUUUUAAAUUACCUUAGGGAUAACAGCGUAAUUUUUCUUUUGAGUUCUUAUUGAAAGAAUAGUUUGCGACCUCGAUGUUGGAUUAAAGUUAAUAUUUGGCGCAGUAGCUUAUAUAUUGGGUCUGUUCGACCUUUAAAACUUUACAUGAUCUGAGU
rnacentral:rRNA from 1 species